AUCGAACGCUGGCGGCAGGCCUAACACAUGCAAGUCGAGCGAGCGGCGGACGGGUGAGUAAUGUAUGGGGACUGCUCGAUAUAGGGGGAUAACUACUGGAAACGGUAGCUAAUACCGCAUACCAUCUGCUAUCCCAUAUGGGUUUAGCUAGUAGGUGAGGUAAUGGCUCACCUAGGCGACGAUCCCUAGCUGGUCUGAGAGGAUAAUCAGCAAAACUGGAACUGGAAAACGGCCCAGACUCCUCCGGAGGCAGCAGUGGGGAAUAUUGCACAAUGGGCGCAAGCCUGAUGCAGCCAUGCGGGGUGGAUGAAGAAGGCCCUAGGGUUGUAAAGUACUUUCAGUCGGAAGGCGUUACCGAAAGAAGAAGCACCGGCUAACUCCGUGCCAGCAGCCGCGGUAAUUC
rnacentral:rRNA from 1 species